rnacentral:rRNA from 1 species
GUGCAAGCCGUCCGCGCGCUAACUCAAAUUAGCCGCACACGGUGAAACCGCGAAAGGCUCAUUAAAUCAGUUAUGGUUCCUUAGAUCGUACCCACGUUACUUGGAUAACUGUGGUAAUUCUAGAGCUAAUACAUGCCAACAGAGUUCUGACCAGCGCCAUCGCCGCCACCGGGAGCNNNNNNNGUGCGCGCGCGAUGGAGUUUGCGGAAGGAACGCUCUUAUUAGAUCAAAACUGGCCGAGCGGGGUCGAUCGUUNNNNNNNGCAUGCAYGCGCCCACACGCGCGCCAUCGUCGGCGCAUCGUCUUCCGUGUAAGCGGCCCGCGCAAAGACUUGACGACUCUGAAUAAUUUCUAGCUGAUCGCACGGUCAAAAUUUUUUAUACAAANNNNNNNGAGCGCGCGCGCGCACACUUAGCACCGGCGACGUAUCUUUCAAAUGUCUGCCUUAUCAACUGUCGACGGUAGGUUCGACGCCUACCGUGGUGGUAACGGGUAACGGGGAAUCAGGGUUCGAUUCCGGAGAGGGAGCCUGAGAAACGGCUACCACAUCCAAGGAAGGCAGCAGGCGCGCAAAUUACCCACUCCCAGCUCGGGGAGGUAGUGACGAAAAAUAACGAUACGGGACUCAUCCGAGGCCCCGUAAUCGGAAUG